GCGGCUAGACGGAAAGACCCCGUGAACCUUUACUAUAGCUUGACACUGAACAUUGAAUUUUGAUGUGUAGGAUAGGUGGGAGACUAAGAAGCAGGCACGCCAGUGCUUGUGGAGUCGUCCUUGAAAUACCACCCUUUAACGUUUGAUGUUCUAACGAAGAUUACGAAACGUGGUCUCGGACAGUGUCUGGUGGGUAGUUUGACUGGGGCGGUCUCCUCCCAAAGCGUAACGGAGGAGCACGAAGGUUUGCUAAUCACGGUCGGACAUCGUGAGGUUAGUGCAAUGGUAUAAGCAAGCUUAACUGCGAGACAGACAAGUCGAGCAGGUGCGAAAGCAGGUCAUAGUGAUCCGGUGGUUCUGAAUGGAAGGGCCAUCGCUCAACGGAUAAAAGGUACUCCGGGGAUAACAGGCUGAUACCGCCCAAGAGUUCAUAUCGACGGCGGUGUUUGGCACCUCGAUGUCGGCUCAUCACAUCCUGGGGCUGAAGUAGGUCCCAAGGGUAUGGCUGUUCGCCAUUUAAAGUGGUACGCGAGCUGGGUUUAGAACGUCGUGAGACAGUUCGGUCCCUAUCUGCCGUGGGCGUUGGAGAAUUGAGAGGGGCUGCUCCUAGUACGAGAGGACCGGAGUGGACGCAUCACUGGUGUACCAGUUGUCUCGCCAGAGGCAUUGCUGGGUAGCUAAAUGCGGAAGAGAUAAGUGCUGAAAGCAUCUAAGCACGAAACUCGCCUUAAGAUGAGUUCUCCCUAGCUAUAAGCUAGUAAGGGUUGUUGAAGACUACGACGUAGAUAGGUCUGGUGUGUAAGCGGUGUGAGCCGUUGAGCUAACAGAUACUAAUUGCCCGAGAGGCUUAACUAU
rnacentral:rRNA from 1 species